CAUCACUUGUGACUAGGAAUCUUUGACCUGGAAACCACACCAUCCAGAUUGUGGAUCUGGCAGCAUUCUAAUCCCUGUUUAAGAGGGUAUAUGAGUUAGUCCAGUCCAGAGGGCCUAAAAUGAAUCCAUGAAACCUCUUAGGGCGCAGGGUAGGGUAGCUAUCAGUGAAGGGCAACAUCUCAGCUGCCAGUAGGUAUGUGUGUGUGUGUGUGUGUGUGUGUGUGUGUGUGUGUCGAGGUAGAGCUGUGUGUGUAUGUAUGUAUGUGUGAUCUAUGGAGGUAGAGCUGUGUGUGUGUGUGUGUUUGAGAGAGAGAGAUCUAUGCAGGUAGAGCUGUGUGUGUGUGUGAGAUCUAUAGAGGUAGAGCUGUGUGUGUGUGAUCUAUGGAGGUAGAGCUGUGUGUGUGUGUGUGUGUGUGUGUGUGAUCUAUGGAGGUAGAGCUGUGUGUGUGUGUGUGAUCUAUAGAGGUAGAGCUGUGUGUGUGUGUGUGAUCUAUGGAGGUAGAGCUGUGUGUGUGUGUGUGUGUGUGUGUGUGUGUGUGUGUGAUAUAUAGAGGUAGAGCUGUGUGUGUGUGUGUGUGAUCUAUGGAGGUAGAGCUGUGUGUGUGUGUGUGAUCUAUAGAGGUAGAGCUGUGUGUGUGAGAGAGAUCUAUGGAGGUAGAGCUGUGUGUGUGUGUGUCUGAGAGAGA
ensembl:lncRNA